GAUGAACGCUGGCGGCGUGCCUAAUACAUGCAAGUCGAGCGAAGCGGGGACGGGUGACUACCACGUGGAGAACCUCCUAUAAGACGGGGAUAACAUCGGGAAACCGGAGCUAAAACGGAUGCUGAUAGAUGGGUCUCCGUUGCAUUGGCUAGGUGGUCAGGUAACGGCUUACAAAGGCAACGCUGCAUAGCCGAACUGAGCGGUUGAUCGGCCACACUGGAACUGAGACACGGUCCAGACUCCUACGAGAGGCAGCAGUAGGGAAUCUGCCGCAAUGGACGAAAGCCUGACGGAGCAACGCCACGUGAGUGAUGAAGGUUUUCGGAUCGUAAAACUCUGUUGUUGGGGAAGCGGUACCUAAUCAGAAAGCCACGGCUAACUACGUGCCAGCAGCCGCGGUAAUUC
rnacentral:rRNA from 1 species